CCAUGCAAGUCGAACGGAGUGUUGCGCUGAAAUUGAUAUUAGUGGCCGACGGGUGAGUAACGCGUGAGGAACCUGCCUUACAGAGGGGGACAACAGUUGGAAACGACUGCUAAUACCGCAUGCUGUAAGAUGGCCUCGCGUCUGAUUAGAUAGUUGGUGGGGUAACGGCCUACCAAGUCGACGAUCACUAGCCGGACUGAGAGGUUGAACGGCCACAUUGGGACUGAGACACGGCCCACACUCCUACGGGAGGCAGCAGUGGGGGAUAUUGCACAAUGGAGGAAACUCUGAUGCAGCAACGCCGCGUGAGGGAAGAAGGUUUUCGGAUUGUAAACCUCUGUUUUUAGUGAAGCGGUAGCUAAAGAGGAAGCCACGGCUAACUACGUGCCAGCAGCCGCGGUAAUACGUAGGUGGCAAGCGUUGUCCGGAAUUACUGGGUGUAAAGGGUGCGCAGGCGGGAUUGCAAGUUGGAUGUGAAAUACCGGGGCUUAACCCCGGAGCUGCAUCCAAAACUGUAGUUCUUGAGUGGAGUAGAGGUAAGCGGAAUUCCGAGUGUAGCGGUGAAAUGCGUAGAUAUUCGGAGGAACACCAGUGGCGAAGGCGGCUUACUGGGCUCUAACUGACGCUGAGGCACGAAAGCAUGGGUAGCAAACAGGAUUAGAUACCCUGGUAGUCCAUGCUGUAAACGAUGAAUGCUAGGUGUGGGGUCGUGCCGGAGUAAACACAAUAAGCAUUCCACCUGGGGAGUACG
rnacentral:rRNA from 1 species